rnacentral:rRNA from 1 species
UUAAUUGAAGAGUUUGAUCAUGGCUCAGAUUGAACGCUGGCGGCAGGCCUAACACAUGCAAGUCGAGCGGUAACACAGGAGAGCUUGCUCUCUGGGUGACGAGCGGCGGACGGGUGAGUAAUGU